rnacentral:snRNA from 1 species
CGGUGUGAGGGUAGCCUGGCUGUGCCAUCUGUCACCCUAUUGACCACUAGGGUGUAUUGGGCUAAUCUGGCCAGCUAUGCAGGUGUCCCUUUCCUCCUUAGCAAUCAAAGAGAACAGCCUUCCCCUAAUAGAGGGGGACUGGGCUUCUGUCCCCUGCUGGAACCUCCAAAUAAGCUUUCAGGUUAUCACUGAGUAUUGUGUUAGGGGGUUCCUUGACAUAUCUCCUCCUCAUACACACUUCCAUGGUCUCUGGCUAUCUAUAGGCUUUU